CAGCAGCAGCCACGGUAAUACGGAGGGUGCAAGCGUUAAUCGGAAUUACUGGGCGUAAAGCGCACGCAGGCGGUCUGACAAGUCAGAUGUGAAAUCCCCGGGCUUAACCUGGGAACUGCAUUUGAAACUGUCAGGCUGGAGUCUUGUAGAGGGGGGUGGAAUUCCAGGUGUAGCGGUGAAAUGCGUAGAGAUCUGGAGGAAUACCGGUGGCGAAGGCGGCCCCCUGGACAAAGACUGACGCUCAGGUGCGAAAGCGUGGGGAGCAAACAGGAUUAGAUACCCGUGUAGUCCCUGUCUCUUAUAC
rnacentral:rRNA from 1 species